rnacentral:lncRNA from 1 species
GACCCAUAUGGCUAAAAAUCAAGGGAACAUAUGUCAAACUCAAUAGCCUCACUGUGAAUAGCCAAUGAUACCAUAGGUCAAAAGACCACUCACACCACUGCAGCAUCGAGAAGACCAUUGACGAGUGAGUAGACAUUCAUAUGGUUCUUGUGUUGGUCACGCUCAGUGCAAGUUAUUCUCUAACAACCAUCUGUACCUUCACCCCAGUGUCUCUACACCAC